CCUACGGGAGGCAGCAGUAGGGAAUCUUCCACAAUGGGCGAAAGCCUGAUGGAGCAACGCCGCGUGAGUGAUGAAGGCCUUCGGGUUGUAAAACUCUGUCAUUCGGGACGAACCGGAGUCUGAGGAAAUGCAGACUCUCUGACGGUACCGGAGGAGGAAGCCCCGGCUAACUACGUGCCAGCAGCCGCGGUAAUACGUAGGGGGCAAGCGUUGUCCGGAUUCACUGGGCGUAAAGCGCGCGCAGGCGGUGAUGUAAGUCUGAGGUGAAAACCCGAAGCUCAACUUCGGGACUGCCUUGGAUACUGCGUCACUUGAGGAUAGGAGAGGCAAGGGGAAUUCCACGUGUAGCGGUGAAAUGCGUAGAGAUGUGGAGGAACACCUGUGGCGAAGGCGCCUUGCUGGCCUAUUUCUGACGCUGAGGCGCGAAAGCGUGGGGAGCAAACAGGAUUAGAUACCCUGGUAGUCCACGCUGUAAACGAUGAGUGCUAGGUGUAGGUGGGCUCAUACCCAUCUGUGCCGAAGCUAACGCAUUAAGCNCNCCGCCGNGGAGUACGGUCGCGAGACGUAGAACGUACGAAGGAAGUUAGACGGCGUUGAGACGUUGCCGACGGACGACGACGAGGGAGGUUAGG
rnacentral:rRNA from 1 species